rnacentral:rRNA from 1 species
CUAAUACCGGAUAAGAUAUCGAACCGCAUGGUUCGAUAGUGAAAGAUGGUUUUGCUAUCACUUAUAGAUGGACCCGCGCCGUAUUAGCUAGUUGGUGAGGUAACGGCUCACCCAAGGCAACGAUACGUAGCCGACCUGAGAGGGUGAUCGGCCACACUGGAACUGAGACACGGUCCAGACUCCUACGGGAGGCAGCAGCC